rnacentral:lncRNA from 1 species
GAAUCAGAUACCUUGUAAUAAUACUGCUAUUAUCAGCUUGAUUGGCUGCCUUUGAUACUGUCACAGAAGCAUACAGGUUAUCUCUAAUCUGAUUUAUCUUGUCCAGAAAAUAAAUUGACUUCCUUAGAGUAGGAAGGCCUCAGAGUCAAGUCACCUACACACCUCAGCAGGCAGCAAUAGGGCCUUGUCCUUCGAGUGAGAAAUCAAACUCCAGCAAAGCUGUUCCUUCUCUCAGUUCUUCCCACAGGCAGCAAAAGAACGAUGGGAGUGAGGAGAGGUGAGUUCAAGUUGAGCACACAAAAAAAACCCACAUAACUAAGCAUGGUGAGUAUUUUUAAUUAUCUUAAGUGUCGUGCUAUUUUUUUAUUUUUUUUUUUAAUUCAAGUACAAAAGUGAAAUGAUCUGAAAAAUUACCUGCAUCUCUUAGCUCUGCCCCUCCAAAAAGCUUACAGGAACUGUAUCAAGAAACAGAUUGUUUCAGUUGAUUAAGUCACAUUUUCAGGGCAGAAAGAAAUUUUAAAAGACAGGCAGACUUAAGUGAACUUUAAUCUUCUUCUGAGUGGUUUCAUCAUUUUCAUUUCAGACAUUUCUGCUGGUACUCACGGACACGGCCUUUUCUUCCACAACAGGUUUCACAGCAGCAGUGAAAGAGGCCGCUCUGUGACAUGGGGCAUUAGAGGGACACGUGAAUUCCAGUGAAUGCUGUGUACUGACUCAUGACAGCUGCACAGCCUUACCUCAUUUGACUUGCACAGCACAGCUCACAGGACUACCAACAACACCUUGCUGAAAUGCAGAUGCAAGUGAAUAGGAGACAGCCAACAAUCAGAAUUAUUUCAAGAAAAUCUUGCAAUAAUGCAUCUGCUUCAGCUUUUGCCUUUCUGGUAAAUAUCAAGGCCUUAUUAUAAAUAGAGACAUUUUGGGUAGAAGGCUGAAAAGCUACAGUGCAACAGUGCCAUCCCCUGCCUGAAAAAAUCAUCGUCUCUCCUCUCAAAAGAAGACAAGGAUUGAAAUACUCCACCAAUGCCAGCUGUAUCUAGGUGGGAGGUUACCUGAAAACAUCAACGUAAGUGCAGCGUGAGCCACAUUGCAGUAAUACUGGUGGGGAAUUGCAUUGUACAAUCUAAAUUCAGAAGAGUUCCUUUAUAGUUAGCACCACGAAGCUUAUGUAAAAAUAAACUGCUUGAGAUUUCACA